rnacentral:rRNA from 1 species
UACGGAGGGUGCAAGCGUUGUUCGGAAUUAUUGGGCGUAAAGCGCACGUAGGUGGUUUGUUAAGCUAGCUGUGAAAUCCCCGGGCUCAACCUGGGCACUGCAGUUAGAACUGGCAAGCUAGAGUAGGGUAGAGGGGUGUGGAAUUCCAGGUGUAGCGGUGAAAUGCGUAGAUAUCUGGAGGAACAUCGGUGGCGAAGGCGGCUUCCUGGACCGAUACUGACGCUGAGGCGCGAAAGCGUGGGUAGCAAACAGGAUUAGAUACCCGAGUAGU